rnacentral:rRNA from 1 species
UUGACCUCAAAUCGGGUGAGACYACCCGCUGAACUUAAGCAUAUCAG